GUCACCUCGCAGCACACAGACUAAAACUGGGACAAUACAGAGAAGAUUAGCAUGGCCCCUGCACAGGGAUGACACGCAAAUUCGUGAAGCGUUUCAUAUUAAA